rnacentral:rRNA from 1 species
CAGUCGCCGCGGGAAUACGUAGGGUCCGAGCGUUGUCCGGAAUUACUGGGCGUAAAGAGCUCGUAGGUGGUUUGUCGCGUUGUUCGUGAAAACUCACAGCUUAACUGUGGGCGUGCGGGCGAUACGGGCAGACUAGAGUACUGCAGGGGAGACUGGAAUUCCUGGUGUAGCGGUGGAAUGCGCAGAUAUCAGGAGGAACACCGGUGGCGAAGGCGGGUCUCUGGGCAGUAACUGACGCUGAGGAGCGAAAGCGUGGGGAGCGAACAGGAUUAGAUACCCGUGUAGUCCCUGUCUCUUAUAC